CGCGGGGUGGAGCAGUCCGGUAGCUCGUCAGGCUCAUAACCUGAAGGCCGCAAGUUCAAAUCUUGCCCCCGCAACCA
rnacentral:tRNA from 1 species